AGAUCUGAGCUUUAGAGUAUAUCAUAGCCAAUGAGGUUAAUCUGAGGCGUGAUUAUUGCUAGUUGAAAACUUUUCCCAAUACCCUGCCAUGAUCAGUUUACAUCUAAGACUAAUUCCCAAAAUAUUGUGCCUUUUGUCACCAAA